GCACCCAUAGCUCAGUUGGAUAGAGUGAUGGACUUCGAAUCCAGAGGCCGCAGGUUCGAGCCCUGCUGGGUGCGCCA
rnacentral:tRNA from 2 species